CAAAUAAGCCCUCCACCUUCUUUACAUAUUAAGUGCAUUUCUUAAAUAAAGAAGUGGUUCACGAUGGACUUGUUUGUUUAAUUCACCUAUGAAAAUACAGUCCACAAUUAAUCCUUGCUGUUCAUAGCAGCAGAGAUACAACACAAUUUGGUGAUCCAGCAGCGGAGCAGCAACAAAACAUUUUAUGGUCCUUCAAGCCGGAUUUUAAGAUUUUCCGGCGAUACAAGUACAAUUUGGGAGGUCAGUAGCCACAACAGGUGAAGACAAAUAUUAAGGCCGCCUCUACAACGUCAACCAAUAAUUUGCAAGACAAAGGGACAAUUUACCCAUAAGUAUCCUUUUUAAACAAAGCCAGGGAUUGGAGGCAUUUCAAACAGAAAUUACGUUUUUUAUGACGUAUUUUCUGUUUUGAUUUACGGAGUAUAAACAUCGAUGCCUACUGAAGCGACAACGAAGAAAUUGGAAACGUUGUGUUAUAUUGGACAAUAUUGAAAGUAUGGACAGACCACAUAACAAAUAUCGAGGUUCUCAGCAGAAUGGGUCAUUUUGAAGAGAAAUAGAGGCUUACCAGAUCUCGAGACAACGUUGAAUCAUGGAUUUCUCCACCUUGAACUGUAUAUUUGCCGUAAUGGCACAUUACAGCUCUGGCUUUCAUGAGUGAGGAAUCCAUAAUUCAAUGUCAUGAUUUGCAGAUACCCCAGUGAAAGUAUAAAAUAAAAGUAAAAUGAGUAAGAGGAAGAGACCAGGAGACCACCAAAAAAACAAGAGACCACUGACAGAACAAGAACUUCUCCGUGAAAUAGACUGUAUAAGUGAUACUGAAGGUAGUGACUUUAGCUCCAAUGAUUCCAUUGAUGACCCUGUUUGGUAUCCUGGUAUGUCAAAAAAUAAAACGUUGCUUGACCAUCAUAUCGAAGAAUAUUCAGACUUAUCUGAAGACGAAGAUCCAGAAGAUGUAGAUGAUAUAUUUGAAACUCUGGAAGUCCAAGAAUUAGAAGAUGAUCUUGCCAAUGAAGUGGAUGAACCCUAUCAAGAUGACCAAAAUGAUAAUCAUGGUUGGACUGAAUACUGUGAAAAACACAAAUUCGUGUUUGAAUGAUGAUGAAAACUCUACAUCACUAGACAUUUUUUCAUUGAUUGUCGAUGACGAAAUCAUUAGUCAUAUUGUCACGAAAACCAAUAAAUAUGCACAACAAAAAAUAAGAUCAAGCCAAAAAACCAAAGGACCAAGGAUAAAUCAAUGGACAGCGACGAAUAACAACGAAAUUAAAAAGUUCUUGGGGCUAAUCAUGUGGAUGGGCUUAGUAAGACUGAGUACCCUUUCAGAUUAUUGGUCCACUCGUAGUAUCUAUAACCUUGCAGUUCCGCGAGCAGUGAUGUCAAGGAACAGGUAUUUUUUUUUUUUUUUUUUUUUUUUUUUUUGGUUCGGUGGAGAAAUUCUUUAUGAACACUGGUUACGCGGCGCCGCCCCCAGUAGUGUGGGACUCAGUGUCGAGUCUGUUUCGUCCUAUACCCACUAAAACUCCACCGCUGGGUGGUGCCUUGUGGCUCCCUACACUGCGGUCUGCUAAGAAGCAGUCCUAUUGUGUCCCACAUGUUUAGUCCCACAGGUUCAAUUCUGUAGCUUCAAGGAAGUCCAGGAUUGUGCCCAGUGGUAGAUUUCUUAUACCCUCUGGUGCGGAUUUCUCUUCUUCCAGGAAUGUUGCCCUGGUUUGAUUAAAUGCUUCACAGAAGCACAGUAUGUGAAGAGUUGUUUCGUCCUCCUCAUUGCAUCCCCUACAUAGCGAGGUAACUGAUUUCCCUAGCGUAUGCAGGUGUUUCCUGCUGGGUGCAUGGCCUGUAAGUAGCCCUGCGACCUUUCGCAGUUGUUGUCUGGAGAGGCCCAGUAUGUUCUCACCCUUCUUGAAGGGUGGGCUGCCUAUAAGUUGUUUGGAUUGUUCCAUCUUUGGCAGCUGCUCCCAGUAGAAUUUGUUUUGGUUUGUUAGCCAGUUGCCGAUUUCCCUCUUCCAGGUCUUAUCGCUGACAUAACAUGUUGGUUCAGGGCCUACCAGGCUGUUGCUGGCUCCCUGGGUUGCAAGUUGGAUAGCCCUUCUUGCAGCCUUAUUGUUGCCCAUAUUCUAUGCUAGGAUUAUCUCUGGCCUAUUUUGCGCUUCGGAGGAACAGGUAUUAGUUACUGUUGUCAAUGGUUCAUUUUAAUGACAAGGAAACAUUUGUUCCGGGAGAGCGUUUGGGAAAAAUCAAGCCGCUUGUCGAUAUCCUGAAGAGCAAGUUUCAAAAUCUAUUUUGCCCAGGUGAAUUUAUUGUUAUUGACGAGACAUUAGUACCUUGGAGGGGACGACUAAUUUUUCGCCAAUAUAUACCAAAUAAGGCGCAUCGAUAUGGUAUUAAACUUUUUAAAUUAUGCUCAGUAGAUGGUUAUACCUGGGACUUAAAAAUCUACAGUGGAAAGUCUGCAAGUGGGGAGAGAGAAACCGGACUAGCGAAAAACGUCUGCAUGGAACUCUUACAUGAUCUUCUGGACCAGGGAAGAACGCUUUAUGUCGACAAUUUUUAUACAAGCUAUGAACUAGCAAAAGCCCUGUUAUCCAGACAGACACUUGUUGUAGGUACAGUAAGGUCAUCUAAAAAGGAUCUUCCGAAAGAGGUUCUUCAGAAGAAUUUGAAAAGAGCCUGAGAAGAUAAUAAUGGUAUAGUUAUCUUGAAAUAUAAGGAUACCAGAGAUGUGAGAAUGCUUUCCACAAAACAUGCUCUGGAACUUGCUCCAGUAAAAACAAAAACGUCCCUAAAAAAUAAAAAAUCAUCUUCACAAGAACGAAGCUCGAUCACUGUCUCUAAUACUGCUCCAUUACAAGUUUUGCCUUCCACGAGCUCUAGUAUUAAUGCUUUGUCAUCACAAGAAGAAGACGAGACUCCAACAAACCCCACUGAAGAAAUAUAAUCUGAGCUACAGGAUGAGCCCUCUGAAGAAAACGUGUUAGCGAGACCUUUGAGUGUUCCCACCGCAGCUUCCAUCCCAAGACAGAAAAAAAAAACGUGCCACUGAAAAGCCAUUAGCUGUACUUGAUUAUAACCAGGGUAAAGCUGGAAUAGAUCUCUCCGACCAGUUGGGGUCCUACGUCUCUACUUUGAGAAAGGGUAUCAAAUGGUACCAGGAAUUGGGAAUGGAACUGUUACUGGGCAUGGCAGUAGUGAAUUCGUGGGUGGUGUACAAGGCUGUAACAAAAAAAAAGAUCACCAUACCCAUUUUUCGAGAAUCGUUAGUAGCCGAACUUUUACAACUUGAAGAGGUAAAACCGAUGGAAAGACCAAGAUCAUCAAAGGGCUCAUACCAUCAGCUCUUACAGAGAUUAGAUUCAAAUGGGGAAAAAAUCGGAAGAAAGUGCGCUGAAUGCUAUGCCAAGAUCCAAAAGGAAUCCAGCAGAGAAAUGGUACGAAAAAAAGCCAAAAUGGUAUUUACAUUUUGCAAAUGCCCGUUACAGCCUCAGAUUUGCCUGCCUUGUUUUAAUUCUAAGCAUUCUUAAGUUUCCCUAUUCUGGACUUUCGAUGGUUGCUUAAUUUUUGCCAAUUAGCUAAGCUUUUUUGUUAACCUAGGUACUAUUUUUUUCUUUUUAUAUAUUAGAAUGUAACAAUCUGUUCGUUUUGUUUUUAUUUUCC